UACGAAGGGGGCUAGCGUUGCUCGGAAUCACUGGGCGUAAAGGGUGCGUAGGCGGGUCUUUAAGUCAGGGGUGAAAUCCUGGAGCUCAACUCCAGAACUGCCUUUGAUACUGAAGAUCUUGAGUUCGGGAGAGGUGAGUGGAACUGCGAGUGUAGAGGUGAAAUUCGUAGAUAUUGGGAAGAACACCGGUGGCGAAGGCGGCUCACUGGCUCAUAUCUGACGCUCAGGCGCGGCAGCGUGGGGAUCAAACAGG
rnacentral:rRNA from 1 species